GUUUUCAGCAGCUAAAUCUUCAGAAGCUGAGCCUUCAAGACUAGAAUUUGGGGUUUUCAAAACUAGGAUUUGGGGUUUCAGAAACUGAGCCUUUAGAACUAGAGUCUGUGUCAGGGAUAGAAUCUAAUGUUUCAGCAAGUCAUGUAUUCAGAGCUCUAGAGCUAGAGUCUGAAUUUUCUGAACUAGUGUCUAUGUGAACAGAGCUAAUGUGCAGCUGCUAAUCAUUUUCAUUUUAAAACUGCACAAAAGUUUUUCUUUUAACUUCUGCUUUCUAGCAAAAACAGAACAAAACAAAAAAAACAGCUGGACAGUUAAUUUCAGUUUUCUAAGUGUGCAAAGAUUUUUCAGCAUGCCUUCCACUCUCCAGGAAUUUUAAAGGUCACUUCCACAGAUCGUGAGAGACCAUAGACUGCUGAGUAAAGCUGAGUAAUCUCUUCAAAUUGAACUCUGCACUCUCGAAUUUGUGUUCUUUGAAAAUUAUUCUAUUUCAUUUUGUUUUGUCAGUUCUCACUUUGGUCUUGACCUUAAAAAAAUUUUUUUUAACUACGGAAACAGCCCCACCUAGUUAUUUCAUACAAAUGUUACUUAUGAGUCAGAAUCAACUCAACAGCAAUGGUUUUGGUUUUUUUAAUAACAGCAAUAUAAGGCUAUAUGCAGUUCCUUUUUCUGUCCCUUCAAUAAUAGUUUACUCUAUCUAAAUGUCCCUUUUUCCUAAAGAACUAACUAGAAAAGAAUUUUAAAUGUUUAUUAAAACUUACCAUCUAGACUCCUGUGAUCUUAAGGUUGUGUGUCAACUUGGCUGAGCUAAGAUUCUCAGUGUUUUGGCAAUUACGAUGUAGUUUGGCAGUCAUAUAAUGAUGAGAUCUGAUAUAAUAUGAUCACCUCCAUGAUGGGAUAUGCUGUGAGUAGUCAGUCAGUUGAAAGGGAGUUUCCUUGGAGGUGUGGCCUGCAUCCAAAAUAGGUGUACUUUUCUGCCAAGGCUAGAUGGCUUUUGCUAACCUGGAUCCUGCAGCUGUCUCCUGUUCAUUUGAUCUCCAGUUCUUGGGAUUUGAGCUAGCAGCUUACCUGCCAUCUUGCCUGCCUAUCUUGGGAUCCGUUGGUCCCCACUGCCUGUGAGCGAGAGGACUGCCAGUCUUGGGUCACCAACUCCUGCAGCUAUGUGAGUCAGGAGAAGCCUCCAACCCAACUCAUGGACUUGAGACUUUCCAGCCUCUACAACCAUACAGGAGAUGCCAACACAGUCUCAAGUGUCCACCUGAUACAAAUAGCUCACUCUUCAUCAGCAUCUCUCUCCCACCCACUGUCCAGUCCCUUUCCUGUCUGAUGAAUUGUCUUCGGGGAUGGUUCCCGUCCUGUGCCAAAAGAAGGUUUGGGGACCAUGACCGCCGGGAUUCCUCUAGUCACAGCCAGACCAUUAACCUGGAGACUAUGCUUAUUGGAAAAGGAAAAAAUCUUUUGGACCUGCCAGCCUACUAAAGGACUAAACCUGAAAUUCCAAUGAAGAUGGACCAAAAGCAGACAACCUUAGAAGAAAACAGCUGAACCCGAGGAUGAGCAGAAGCUGGCAUCUGGGUAGACUGCUUACAUAUCCAAGAUUCCAGGACAAGGCCUAUAUCUAAACCUACUAAUCUGAAAUCAUUGAAGAGCAUUUUACUCUUUCUUAAAAUUUUUUAAUUUCUUCUUCUUUAAACGAAAAACAUCGUUAUUUUAAUAUUAGCUGCUUCGCUACCUUUUUAUCGUACGAUUCCCUGCCUUUCCAUACAAAUAAUAGUCUCGAUAGUACUAUUUGUUUUUCUCUAAAGGCAGUUUUACCCUAAUAAUUGUUAAUGAUUCUUUUUCCCUUUAAAAUCACUGUGUUUGAUCAAUUAAGACAGGUAAGAAUUACAAUUAAUAUUUUUGAGAUUUGCUUCAUACUUACAUUCUCUCUUUUAUUGCCUUAUUAUAUUAUUUAUUUUUUUACAUUUCAUUUAAAAUAGUCCAGAUUUAUUUUAAACAUUUAAUAGUUUUUAAUUUUCCUUGCUUAUAAAACAACUCCUGUUCAGUAAAGUUAAACUUUUUAAAAUGGUAAAGAAUUUAACUGUAGAAAUACUUAGAAUUUAUUUUUUAACUAUCUUAAUCCUUUUCUUUAUUGUCACUAACCUCCAACUAAGAGGUAUUAUUCCUUGUUUUCAUAUAACUUCCCUCAAAAGGCAAGACCUCUUUUUAUAAGUACUACUUUUAAGAAAUAAUUAUAUUCCUUAUAACCAUCAAGAAUUAGAAUCCAUAUUAGUUCUUUUUGUUUCAAGUUUUCUUGUUACCGUGUUCUUUUGUUUUACCAAUAUUCUUACAACCUGUUUCACACUUUCAAAAUUAUCCCUUUGAUUACAAUAUCGUCUCAAGUCAAUAUUGUUCCUUAAAACCCUGUGCUUUUAAUACAGGUUGUUGCCCUAUGUAUAAUACUUAUUAUGUUUGAAAUAGUUUUGUUUUAUCAGUUAAAAUCAUCCUUUUAGCACAGCCAACAAGGGUCUAUGCUAUAGCCAACACCUCAUACUACCCCUAGAUCAACAUGUCUAGUCAAGUAGACUAAAAUCUCAGAAAAAUUUGAUGAAAAAACCACUUAGUUACACACUGACCCUGAACUUGACUCCUCAUCCUUUGACAUAUUCAUUUGGUUCCCCAGUAAUAUAAAAUCUUAGUUGCACUCCAUACUGCAAGUAGAUUUAGUUUUCUCAACUAUUACUGUACUAAUUGUUUGUAUAAUCAAAUGGUUUAUGAAAUGUUUCUCAAAUCUCUGUAAUCACUAGACUACUCAUUUAACGGUUCAACAUGUCAUGCAUCUUAAAGAAACCGACUAUACAGAGGAAUUUUACCUUAUACCUUAGUUGAAAGCCUUCUGUCUGUCAAGUUGUUCCUUCACAUUCAGCCUUGCUCUAUUCACAUCUCUAUAGUAAAGGAUUACUGAAGCAGAGUACUUAAUAGCAUGGAAAAAACAGUAUGGUAAAAAUUCUUACUGUGGUGCACAACUAUCCACCUGACGACAUCCAAGCCUCGUCAUUUGCUUGAUAGAGUCUGGGGUCUUAAUUGACUUUUACAAGGUAAGCAGCCACCCAUUUAAACUUUUAAACCCAUGCAGAAGACAGGUUACUCCUUUGUAGGCAAUAUGAGACCACCUCACCCUGAAGAUGAGGCCCUAAAAAUAGCAAAGUAAAAGCCUCUACCCAAGGUCAAAGUCCAUGCAGAAGAAUGUACUCCUAAGUGUGAUAAUCAAAUUCCCAGGGAAAUUAUUGAUCAAAGGGGAGAAGUGAGGAAGAACAUUCCAAAAGCUAAGGUUCCUGACAGAUUAGGACUAUGGCUAAGACAUAGGCCUAAUCUCUCCUUGUCCUAAGUGACUCCAUUUUAGAUUUCUAAAUGCAGCUUCUGUCAUAUAAUGUAGCCUGUCACUUCUGGACAUUUUCCACUGUACCUCUAACCUAGAUAUCAGCAGGUCUACAGAAAAGUGUGGUUUUGCCCACUUUGCUUUGCUUAUUUCAAAUUUGUGGUUAAAAAUGGUCCAUUCUAAGAAGAAUAUCCACUUUGUACAGGUGUUAGACAUAGUGUUAAACAGGUAACUUUAGUGGCCAAGCUAAUUAUAAGAAAAUACCCCCUUAAGCCCCUUUAACCAUACUUGCAAUUUUCCAAACCUUUGUUCUAACUAACCCAAAUUAUUGUUAAAAUAACAAAGAAAAAACAAACCCCACUGCUAUAAGAGUCAAUUCCAACUCACAGCAACCCUAUAGGAGAGAGUAGAACAGCCGCAUAGGACUUCCAAGGUGUAAAUCUUUACAGAAGCAGACCGCCUCACCGUUCCUCCCAUGGAGUAGCUGGUGAGUUUGAACUGCUGACAUUUUGAUUAGCAGCCAAGCGCUUUAACCACUGUGCUACUAGGGCUCCUUCAGUUAAAAUAACGUUAAAUAAAGACAAAGCUAUAGUUUUUCUGUAUCAAAACCUUUUUCUCUCCUUAAGCAUUAGAAUAUGUCGAAUUUUCAUUUUUAAUAAUCCCAUUCCUUCAACAAACUUUUUGCUUUUAUAUUUCAACAGAACUCACCAUCACAACACUAAAGUAACUCAGUUUAACACAAGCUGCAGAUGUCUAGAUGUCAGGAAACAUGUGAUUUUAUUGGUCAGCCAGAAUGCUGUCACCUGGAGCUAUCCUUGCAAAAGGGAUCAACCUCUACAAGGAUGGUCAACCAACUGCCACCUGCAACUUUGUAAAUGUUAACCAAUCAAAAAUGUUUUAGCUGUACCCUUCUGUUUGCACUUUUUUUUCCCUUCAUAAGCUUCUGUAUCACUGCAGCCCCCGAAGCAUUUUUUCAGAUUAUUCUGUCACUGUGUUUCCCCAUUUUGCAAAAUGUCUUUUUCACUAUAAUAAAACGCUCUGCUUUUAAACUUAAGCAGACUCAUGUUCUUUCUACUACAACAUACUCAUUAUUAUAAAAACAAUUUAUUACUAAAUGAAGAACUAACCUAUUCCAAUGUAGGUGUCCUUGCCUUUUCCCUUUCCUCCCUUGCAUGUCUCCCUACUCUAUUCCCUCUGAUACAAAAGCUGUUUGGAGAGUGUUUCUGCCUGGGGUUAUGAAUUUGGGGGAAAAAAAAAUUAAGCCAACCAGGUUAUAAAAAUUCCUCUUGGCCAAGACGGCUUUGAGCCAGGCCUGCUGGAAGUCAGAAUGCAUGAACCAAGGAGAGAUGAAGGGUAUGCGUCCCUUCCAA